rnacentral:lncRNA from 1 species
UUUUUUUUUUUUUUUUUUUUUUUUUGUCUUUUUGCCAUUUUCUAGGGCCACUCCUGCGGCAUACAGAGGCCCCCAGGCUAGGGGUCGAAUUGGAGUUGUAGCCACCAGCCUAAAGCAGAGCCACAGCAAUGCGGGAUCCGAGCCGCGUCUGCAACCUACACCCCAGCUCAUGGCAAUGCCGGAUCCAUAACCCACUGAGCAAGGGCAGGGAUCGAACCCGCAACCUCAUGGUUCCUAGUCGGAUUCGUUAACACUGAGCCAUGACGGGAACUCCCAGACUAGACUGUUUUUAAGGGCAGGGAAUGGAAAGAGGGCAGAGUUCAGUUAAAAUCAAAGCCAAACAGAGUCCAAGUUGGAAGUUUCCUGAGCAGACAAAACCAGCCCAGUCAUACAAGCAGAACUCAGUUCAGCUUAUUUUUCGAGACCAACCCCACCUGGGUCAAUUUCUCGAGGGUGCUUCUGGAAACCAUCAGCAGAACCUUCCAAAGCUGGCGAUAGAAGUCCAGCCCUUACCACUCCCUAUCAUUUAAGAAAAUUCCAAUGUUACCAAUAUAUAAAUAUUUGCUUAUCAAAUAUGAGUAGAGAAAUAAAUCAGGCCUUUCCUGAAAUCAGUCCCUUGGUCCUUCAGUUUUGUUUCCCUGAGGGCACGUGCUUGAGAUUUUCCAUUUUUUUAUCCUUUGGUUCCAUUCGCAGUUGAAAUUCUUUCCCAAGACAAAGCUGGUAGUAAACACUUUCUCCCAUGAACACAAGUUAGGCAAGUGUUGCCGUCGAGUCGUACUCUGCAACGCCUGCUCUCAGAGGGGGUGCUCUUGGUAUAGUCCCCAAUUCCAGAUGUGCAGACUAAACCAACCCUGAUGUCAGACGUUUAGACAUGAGUGUGUUUCUGGUGGUGGUAUCCUCUAGGGGGUCACAGUCCAUCAAAAAUAAAUUCUGAAAGGUUUUCACUUGGAGAAGAGAUGGGCCCAGAUUCUGUGCAAUGUGGGCCUUGAAGCCUGCUCCCUGACUGAGUGAGAUCCUAAAGGAAACCAUGGAACGUAGUCAGAAUAGUUCUUCCUUUUUUUUUUUUUUUUUUUUUUUUUUGUCUUUUUAGAGCCGCACCCACAAGCAUAGGGAAAUUCCCAGGCUAGGGGUCGAAUCAGAGCAACAGCUGCUGGUCUACACCACAGCCAUAGCAAUGUGGGAUCUGAGCCUCCUCUGUGACCUACACCACAGCUCACGGCAUCAUGGAUCCUUAACCCACUGAGCAAGGCCAGUUAUCGAACCUGCAUCCUCAUGGAUACUAUUCAGCAUCAUUACCACUGAGCCACAGUGGAAACUCCUAUUAAACCUAUCUUGAUCUCCAGGUAGUGUUGUGGCUGAGAAAAGCGGCUUCAGGGCCCAGAUACCACCCCAGUAUCCUGCCCUCCCCAGACAUACACAUGGACACAGACACACAUACACACAUAGGCACACAGACACACACGUUGAUACUGACACCGGACAUGUUGCCUGUUGGCCAUUUGUAUAUCUUCUUUGGAAAAAUGUUUGCUUUUGUUCUUUGCCCAUUUUCUGGUCAGUUCCUUCAAGGCUUCAUGAGUCAGCAUCUUUGCAAGGCCCUGGAGCACCCUGCACUUUCGUCCUGGAGUCAUUACCCCUGGUGGUUCCUUCACCGCCCCGGUGGUCAGGGAAAACCAGGGAAACCUUACAUUCUUUCCACCUGGGCUGUCCUGGCACACAUCGCCCGCUUGGGCUGGAUUUGGUCCAUUUCCCAUGGGCAGAGGGGCAGGUGUUUCUGAGGCUCUUUAUUGGAUGUUCUGUGAGCCCCUCCCUUUCCUCUGCUGCUCUCUCUGCUCUUUCUCUUUGCCAAACCCUCGAGUUGAAGUUGCCUGUGUUUUAAUGGCCUUUGAUGAGGCUCCACUGCACAGAGAAAGUGUUGCCCUGCUCCUUGGACUAAAAAUGGUGGUGCCCCUGGAGGUUGUUUCUUCUGCCCACGGGUAAGACUGGGCAGGGGUCUCAGAUCCAAAUGCCUGCAGGGUUCAGGUGGGCCAUAGAAAUGCCAAAUGCAUGCUUGACCUAAAACCUUUCAAAUCAAGGGAAGAUUUAUUUGUGAUGGUUUCAUUGACCAAAGGACCUGGUGAAAGCUGCCAGUCCCAACCUCACUGGCCCCGCUAAAAGGGCACCCUGGGGCAUAGCCUGUCUGUCUGGAAGCCAAGACCUCACUGCUCAGGGUGGCCUGCUCAGGGUGGCCCACACACCAGCAGCUUCGCAUUGCCUGGGAGCUGUUAGGAAUGCAAAAUCCUAGGCCCCACCCCAUGGAGUUAGAAUCUGCACUUAACCAUCUCUUUGGGUGGUUUGUGUGCUCAUUAAAGUGUGAGAGGGCUGGUCCAAAGGGAUUACCUCAGAGUAGACACUCAUGGCUCCUGGCUGCUGCCCAGAGAAUGGAAACUUGGGUUCACACAAAAGCCUGUCUAAAAAUGUUUUUAGCAGCUUUAUUUGAAAUAGCCCCAAACUGAAAAUAAUGUAGAUGUCCUCCAGUGAAUGAAUGGAUAAACCAACUGUGAUCCAUCCAUAUCAUGAAAUACUGUUUUGCAAAAAAUAAGAAAUAAUUAUCUCUACAGAUGCCAAAUUAGAUGACUCUCAAAGGCAUUUGGUUGAAUGAAUGGAGCAGUUUCAAAAAGUUAUGUAGG